UAUAUAUAUGACUAAAAAAAGUCAUUAUCCAUAUUUCUCUAAGGAGGAAAUUGAAAAUAUUGUUAUGAAGGAUCCAGGAAGCCUAUACCUCUAACUGCUCUAUACUGGCACAAGAUAUAAUAAUUCAUACUGAUCUUUCUCGGUGAGAUAACAGAUAGUAGGCAAGAGUUCAUUUGAAAAGUGAAACAAAAUACAUUCUGAAUGCCGUUUCUCAUUAUCUACCCAGCUUUAGUGAUGAUAAUGUGUGUGGCGACUGUGCCUAGUGGAUAAUACUUGAAAUAUGCCUAACAAAAAUGUGAAUUUAUUCAUUUUUAUGUAGGUCAAUCAAACAUCUGCCUGGAGACCUCAUUUAAUUCAGGUCAAAAGAGGCAGCAACCGUCCACAUUCAGUAGACUUGACAGCAAACAUCAAAAGACAGCCAUUUUAGAUCCUCCCCAAUGCUCCUCCCUGACACACAUUUUAUUUAGAAAAAAAAAAAAUAGGUUCCCAAGUAAGAGGGAGGCUCCUGAGAGAAGAGAAGCAGAGCAUGGUGUCAUCAGUCAACACAUGUAUUGUUGGGAAUUCAUGUUCUGUCUGCUGGUCUUCCCCAACCGCUGGUUCUCCUGCACCCACCAAAUCGCAGGCCAUUGCUCUGAGAUGCGCCUUCUUUGUUCUCACACAAUUCUCACCCUGCUGAGCAGUGAUGGAAUUUGGGGGUGUGUUUCCAUAGAAUCCUGUGCAUCCAGAGACCAUGGGAGGAGAUUAGGUUCUGUCUCUGAGCUAGGAUACUGCUUUGUCAGAUCACUUGCUAUGGAAUUUGAUUUUUCAUAGGCAGUCCCACCUGGAAUCACAGACUCCUUGCAUAUCAGAAUUAUUUAGCUCUUGCUGACAGCAGCCAUUCAUUCCCUAGGAAUGGUGCCUCUGGCCUUUGGAGAGACCCUCACCUGAGUCUGAUUUUCUUGUUUGCUUUAGUCUCCAUUCUCUUUCCUCCUGGUGUUUUAUGCUUUUACUUUUUUUAAUUGUUCCCUUGCUUAUUUAUGCUCUCUUACUUUUAUUUGACUCUCAUUUUUCUUCAGAGCAAUAGUGCUUUGAGCUUUUUCAGUCCUUUGUCUCCUAUACCUAGGUCAUUAAUUAUUUCAUAGAUGAAAAAAAAAUGGAGUUAAAGGAUUCUCUGGCUUUGGCGUGAUACUUCUUUCUUGGAACAAAAUGGAUAGGAAGAAGGAAUGGCUUGAAAGAAACAUGUGAGAGGACUUAGAAGGGUCAGAUAGAAAGGUCUAGGAAGGCUUCACAAUAUGGGUGUACUAUGCAGGCUUUAUACUUCUUCUUGGCAUGCUAAAGAGAACUAGGUGCCUAUGGGAAGGCAGAAACAGGUGUCUAUCACUAGAACACAGCUCUGUGGGAAAGGCUCACUCUGUUUACUUGUAAAACUCUUGAGUAGGCCCAACACAGCAGCUGUGCAACAGAUGAGUGCUGGUUUCCUGGCUGAAGGAGCAUGUCUCAUCUCUUACUCGGCUUGAAAAUGGUCCUCGUUUCAAUGGUAGGCUUCAGAGUGGGCCUAAAAGGGAAGUGAGUGGAGGCCUGAAGCUUUGAUAAACGUAAUGAAUACUUUCUGGCUUUGAAAAUGUAGCCUGAGAUGUGCCGUGGUGACACACCUCUUUGAUCCUAGCACUGGAGAAACAAAGGCAGGAGGAUCUCUGUGAGUUCCAGGCCAUUCUGGUCUACAGAGUGAGUUCUAGGACAGCCAGGGCUACCUGGAGAAACCAUGUCUUGGAGAGGAGUAAAGGAAUCUUAAAUAUGUGUUUUCUCCAAGGGGUCAUCUAAGGACUGAGCUCUCUGACAAAUACCUAAAAGUGUGACAGUGGUGGUGAAAAUUGGAGAUUAAUAUCCUAGAGGGCACAGUCCUGACUGGUUCAUUGUGGAUAGGUCCAUGAGUGCCAUGGGUCAGCUCCUUAGCAGUGUGUGUGACAAGAUCCCUGAACUCCUGUCUCCGUUUCAGGGAUGUAUCUACUCUUUGCUUCCAUCCACACAUGUGCUGAAGAUAGGACUGUGUCUAGUGGGAAGCCUAGCUCAUAAUGAAGUCAUUUAUCCAACUUGAACCCAAGUAUGGGAAAUAUGUUCAGAAUACAUAUAUUGAUAGCCACAUGGGUGCCAAUUAGUAAUAACGUGUUUAAAUACAUAUCAAUACAGCGUCCCAAAGGUAUGGUAUAGGUUUUCAAAGGGACUAUGCUGUUAUAUGAAGGUGAAUAUUUGACCUUAUAACCUUUAACCCAUUCCUUCUAAUGAACUAGCUAUAACAAAUAAGUUCGAAGUUAAAAAAAGUUCUCAGGAAAAGUAUUUCAUCCCAUUUAUUGGGAAUUUGGCUGUGAAGUGUUGUAUGUCCUCAAGUUUAGCAGUGUACUGGGCAACAGACUGUCACCAACAAAUUAACAGUGAUUUUCAAAAACGCCCAUUUUGAUGCCUAGAAGACACGAUUAGAUGAUAAGGUAAUACUAAAGCUAUCACUUCAGUUUCUACUUUGGAAAAAGGGAUACAAAUACUGAGGCUCCAUUUUCCAGGAGUAUUUCUAAACAAAUCAGGCAUGAAAAGGGAUAUUCAAUGAAAAUGUUUAACAAUGUUUGUAUCUAGACAUUUUUAGUUGAUCUUGCCUUAAUCCUUAAGUAACUGUUCAGUUAUUUCAGAGUCUAUUAAAUAGUCAAAUUACACUGAACAAAUUCCAGGAUAUAAAAAUAUUUCUUUCACAGGAUCUAAGAGGCCAAUAAGUAGUCAAUGGACACAUGUGCUCAAAAUUCUUCUCGUAAAAUCCCACCAGUAUGUACAACUUUUAAUCUCUAGUUUCCCUCAGUGCCAUAAUGAAAUACCAUUUGCUGAGAUCUACUUUGAUCUGUCACCCUCAACUUAGUUGUCUUUUAUGAAUUUUGGAGUUAGUAGGUUUUUGAUUAUUUAGAUUUUGUUACUUGAGCUUCACAUUAGCUUAUUUUUAUCCAUAUUCUCCUUCAUCUAUCUUAAAAAGGUAGCUUAAAUGACAUAAUUGUCACCAAAGGCUAUCUUCUAUAACUGUCCUGACUGUAACGGGCAGGGAGUCGAGGUGUGCUUAGCCACUUUUUGGUCAGGUGACACACUUGUACUUUUAGAGAUUAUAGGCUGUACUCACAGGUCCACCGUAGCCAUAUCCUUCCCACAAUGCAACACUUGGACAGCCAGUGGUGCUUUAAAAAAUGAUACAUGAUUGCAUUUAUUUAAAACUGUCUAAAUAGCAACUAUAGAAAGGAUUAACACUAAAAUGGGCCUUUUCGUUAGUUAAAUGAAAUCAAUUAUCUUCCGAUUUCCCACAGGCUGUGAUUUACUGUUAUUGAAUUCUGAUCAUGAUUGAAAAGCCAUUUUCUUCUUUGAUUGAAACAUCUCUCUGCAGUGAAGAAGCCAAAAGGAAGUCCUAUUCUAAAUCUACAUUUGCUACAACAGGACCCUGAGAGCCUGACAUCCACAACUACUGAAAACAGUGAGUCAGCUACAAUGAGCACAACGGAGAAGUUGGCUAGGCUGUUGAUAUCAGCAUGCAAAAGGCUCCAGAGAGCUUGAAGUAAUUGCUCUGCAGCUCAUGGUAUGUAUGGAUUGAUAUGCACAUAUGCACAUGAAUGUAAAGUGUUUAAUCAGAGAUGGAGACAGGCCAGCUGUAUACUGGUAAGUUGUUUAUUUUCAAAGCUGCUCAAUCACAGAAAAUUGCCUACACCCGGGACUGUAGUAUAGACUGGAAUAGAUUAAAUAUGCUCAGAGUACUGUCUACAGGAGCUUUUUCUGCACUUCACCUUUCAGGAUAGGGUUUCUGUGUCUAGAGAAGUGGUCCAACCUUUCCAACACCAUAACCCUUUAAUACAGUUGUUCAUGCUGUGGUGACCUUCAACCACAAUACCAUGUAAUACCAUAUGGUGUUUCAUAACUGUAAUUUUGCUAGUGUUAUGAACUGUAAGGUAAAUAUCUGAUAUGCAGGAUAUCUGAAAUGCAACCCGUGAAAGGUGGUUGCUCAACACCCUCAAAGAGUUGCAAGUCACAGGUUGAGAACCACGGGUUUAGACCUGCCAUGUGCUUCUCUUUACAUAUGUCAUCUCCUCAUUUAUCUCUGGCCCACUGAUAUGUUAUUUGUGGAGUCCCUACUGUUUGUGGAUGUUAUGUAUCGGGGUAUAUAUCUUAUUAUAGUUUCUAUCACCUUCUAGGAUGUCUAGGCAGAGACAUUGAAAACAUUUGAAAUAUUAUAAAUGAAUACACAAAGACAAAGAAAAUUAGCAGAAAGUGGUGUCUUUCAACGAGUGUCCAAAUGGCUAAAUUUGGAAAGCCACAUUUUACUAUGUACUAUACAUGACUAGGAUGAGGAAAAUCCCAUGCAGAACUGUACAAGUCUCUCACAGCCCAUUUCUGAAUGGCAUGUGGAGAAGUCUGUACCAUAUGUGGACGUCUUGGCUUCUUAUUUAUCUGAACUCUCUUUCCUCGGACUACAGAAGAGGCUCAAACUUCAGGGACCUUGACUAGCAUUGGUACUUCCUGAAGUACUGGCCUAGUUAGGGACAUUGGCCUAACAUAGCACCCAUUCAUUUCUUGCUCUUUUGAGAGUUCAUCACAUGUCAUUAUGCUACUUUGUCUUCAAGGACCUAGAUUUCCAAAUCUCUUUCCUUGAGAGUUUUAAUGGAAUCCUCCUGCGCACCUGGUUAGGAACGUGCAAGGAGGACACUUGGCACAGCGUGCAGGUGUUGAGGGUUCAGAUCUGGAAAUAGGUACACAGAUUCUUUCCCAUUCCAUAGGUCCAUACAUCAGGGGUGCUCAAGAUAAAGUCUCUGAGAUGAGUCAGUGGAUGUGCCCAAGAAAAGGAAAAGCAUCCUAGUAGCAAGCACUGUAAUUCUCAUUCAUAACUGGAAACAUUUCCAAAUAUAUCUGGGUUUUCAGUAAAACUACCCAAACGCUGCACUCUUCAGGAGUUCUGUUAAUAUGUGUGUGCCACUUUCAAGCCUAGAAAAGACAACGGGAGAGGAAAGAGGACAUGUACAAACAGACCAAAUAAACUAUGGUGCUGAGUCAUUAGGGGCAAGGUGGAGUAAAGAUACUGGAGGGAAGGUCCCUAUAGGUUGAUAGCUAUGGAAAAACAUUUUAUAAAUAUGCUCAUGAUUAUUCAUGUAUAUCAGUAGCAAUGUGUGAGUCUACACAUUUCCCCAGGGGUUGUAUCCUAUCUUCAGAAAAACAUGGUGGUGUUCUCCAGAUGAGAAAACAGCAGCAGAAUGAGCUUCAACUCGCACUCAGAAGCAGUUCUUUAUUCCCUUCCAUUCUGGCGCCUCCAAGUCUAAUAUUUCUCCUUGGGUCCUUUCUUCCUUUCUGUGUAUGGAAGAAAAACUGUGUCCCCUAAAUGCAUUCUCACAGGGUUAAAACAGCAGCCAGAGGUUCUUAAAAGGACUCAUGGGUGGUUGGAAUCUUAAAGGCAAGCAGGCAAUAAAGGUGUCUUGUGGUUUGGUUUUCAUGUCUCAUCUUUGCCUCACUCAGGUCAUGGUGAUCGUAGGGUCUUCAAAACAACUGGUAGCACUGAAAAUUUCCCAGACAUCUGGA
rnacentral:sRNA from 1 species